rnacentral:rRNA from 1 species
UGGGGAAUAUUGCACAAUGGGCGAAAGCCUGAUGCAGCGACGCCGCGUGAGGGAUGACGGCCUUCGGGUUGUAAACCUCUUUCACCAGGGACGAAGCUAACGUGACGGUACCUGGAGAAGAAGCACCGGCUAACUACGUGCCAGCAGCCGCGGUAAUACGUAGGGUGCGAGCGUUGUCCGGAAUUAUUGGGCGUAAAGAGCUUGUAGGCGGUUUGUCGCGUCUGCUGUGAAAGACCGGGGCUUAACUCCGGUUCUGCAGUGGGUACGGGCAGACUAGAGUGUGGUAGGGGAGACUGGAAUUCCUGGUGUAGCGGUGAAAUGCGCAGAUAUCAGGAGGAACACCGAUGGCGAAGGCAGGUCUCUGGGCCAUUACUGACGCUGAGAAGCGAAAGCAUGGGGAGCGAACA